AGUUGCUGCAGCUUCUGAAGCUGGAAUUCAUCACACUGCAAGGGGAUUGGCCAGUUCUCACUCCUAAGAAUAUCCCUGGGAAAGAUGAACUCUGCUAUGUAAAAAGGAAAUUAAGAGACAGUUUGCCUGGUAAAAAAGACACGCUAGUUAUAGCACUGUCAAAAUAAGUGCAGUAUUUCCUAUGAGAGAUGUCAAACAUUUCAUCUUCCAAAAGACUAUACUGUGCAAAAAUGCUAAGCAAGAUGGUGGAGAGAUUGUAGUCAAACUAUCCACAUCCUUUUGAUGAACAGGUUAUUUUCAUUGGUGCACCUGGACAAGAGGCAAUGGGCAAAAACUGGAGCAUAGGAGGUUCCAUCCAUUCAGCAGGAAAUACUUUACUGUUCAGGUGAUUGAGCACUGGCCCAGGUUGCCCAAAGAGGUUGUGGUGUCUCUUUCCUCACAGACCUUCAAAAGCUGUCUGGACACGGUCCUGGGUAAUCUGCUCCAGUUGUGCAGUGGGUUUACGUGGCAAGGUUUUGGUAGCAGGGGGCCAUAGGGGUGGCUUCUGUGAGAAGAAUCUAGAAGCUGCCCCAUGUUUGGUAAGGGCCCUACUGCUGACCAGAGCUGAGCCAAUAAGUGAUGUUGUUUUGCACCUCUGUGAGAGCAUAUUUAAGACAUGGAAAAAAAAUGCUGUGUCACACAGCAGCUGGGAGAGUGAGAGGAGUGAGAAACAGCCUUGCAGGUGCCAAGGUCAGUGAAGAAGGAGGGGGAGAGGUACUCGAGGCGCCAGAGCAGAAGUCCCCUGCGGCCUGUGGUGAGGACCAUGGUGAAGCAGGUUGUCCCCCUGCAGCCCAUGGAGUACCACGGUGGAGCAGGAUUCCACGCUGCAGCCCAUGGAGGAGACCACAGUGGAGCAGGUGGACCUGCACCGAUGGAGGCUGCAGCCUGUGGAAGACCCCUGCCAGAGCAGAUUCCGGGCCGGACCUGUAGCCCAUGGAGAGGAGACCACGCAGGAGCAGGUGACCUGGCAGGAGCUGCUGUCCAUAGGGGAUCCAGGUUGGAGCAGUUUGCUCCUGAGGGAUGGACCCCAUGGUACAGACCCAUAUCUGGAGCAGUUCUUGAAGAGCUGCUGCCUGUGGGCAGCCCACGUCGGAUCAGUUCAGCAAGGACUGCAUCCUGUGGAAAGGACCCCAAAACACAGGGGACAAGAGUGACCGAGAAGGAGCGGCAGAGAAGAAGCGCUAUAGACUGACCAUAACCCCCAUUCCCCCGUUCCCCUGUGCCGCUUGGGGGGAGGAGGUGGAAGAGGGUGGAUGGGGGGAAGGUGCUUUUGGUUUCUUUCCUUUGUUUCUCACUUCUGUAGCUUCUUAGUAAUAGACAGUAAAUCUUACUAUCUCCCUAUGCUGAGUCUGUUUUGCCCGUCUCAAUAAUUACUGCGUGAUCUCCCUGUCCUUACCUCAACCCUUGAGCCCUUUUCAUCGUAUUUUCUCCCUGUUCCUCUUUGAGGAGGGGGAGUGAGAGAGCGGUUGUGGUGGAGCUCGGUCGCCCACCCAAGUAAAACCACCACAAGGUGUCCCUGCUUGAGCAGGGGCAUUGGACCAGAUGACCUCCAAAGGUCUCUUCCAGCUUCAACCACUAUGUGAUUCUGUCAUUCUAUGAAGGCUGGGCAACACGGGUAGUGGAUGUAAAAAAUAAAUAAAUAAAUAAAUAAAUAAAUAAAAGCAAAAACAGACAAACAAAAAAAUCCAAAUAAAACUGAACAAAAUCAAUGACAACAAAACACCAUAUAUAGUAGCAGAAAUUAAAUACAAAAUUAAAAUCUCCAUUUCUACUCAACACUUACUUAUCUUUGAUAAUUUUUACUUUGUAUCAUAUGAUCCUUCAACAAUCUUUGUUAUGUGAAUUCUGUGCUCAGAAAAACUCUGCUCAUGCUGUAGGACCCAGGUAUGUAAAGACACGUGGAAAUAGGAGCAAUCUUACCUGUCUGAUACUUGUAAGAUUAGGUAAACUCUUAAUUGUCUGGCUGAGAUACUAGUAAACUCUCUCCCCUGUUAUCAGUGACCAUACUUAAAAGUAACUUCUUUAUUGCCUUCCUUUUUUCAUCAACACUCAUUUAUUUAUAUUAUUAUUAACUCGCUGAAGUUUCUCGUAACAGCUUUUCAUCUAAUCACUGUCCUUACAUAGUAAGAUAACAUAAAUAAUAUAUGGGUGAAAAGUUAAAAAUGAUAAGCAGGACUAUUAUUUCUUUUUUUCUCUCCAAUGUUCUUACCUACCAUUUGCUUAAAAAUUUAAAAUAAAAAACUCUUAAGAAAAUGAAGAUGUCAAGUUUAGUUACCAAUAAACUUAAUAUUGCCUUCUGUGUGGUUACGUAGAAAAGAAAAUACUAUACUAUAUUCCUUUAAAAAGCAGGGGCUAGAAAGGGUAGACAGUCUCAGGAAUACGUGAGGGAAUCCUGCCACCACUGCUACCUUGAAACAUUUUACAU